rnacentral:rRNA from 1 species
UACGUAGGGGGCGAGCGUUGUCCGGAUUUAUUGGGCGUAAAGGGCGUGUAGGCGGCCGUUUAAGUCGGAGGUGAAAACCCAGGGCUCAACCCUGGGACUGCCUCCGAAACUGGAUGGCUUGAGUGCUCUAGAGGGCAGUGGAAUGGCCGGUGUAGCAGUGAAAUGCGUAGAGAUCGGUCGGAACACCAGUGGCGAAGGCGACUGCCUGGGGAGUAACUGACGCUGAGGCGCGAAAGCUGGGGGAGCAAACGGG